CCGUUCUCAGCACACAAUUAAGUUAGUAUUGUUUAGAAUUAGCGCAUCUGGUGGUCACCCUUUAAAACUUUUGCCACCAUAUUCUCUUGUAGAUUCAAAAAGCUGCACCUCGGUGGUGCGCAACAAGGAGCUGGUGGGGUACAAAGUUUUAAGCUAUGGCAUGCUCCACGAGGAGAAAGACGAGGACACUCGCACGGUCACCGAUGCGCUGAAAUCCACGCCGGGAGUCGCCGAGCUCCUCCUGCGACACUGCAAAUGGUUACCCCAAGUUGUCCUGUUUGAGUGGUGCAACAACGAGGAGGCCCUCCGCGACGUCGCCGAUCUGCCGAGGAAUGGCCGCCCCGUGGAGAAUAUAACCAUGAUGAAGGUGAGUACUGAACUGCUAAAAUGCUUAAAAUGCCCACGCCAGUGCAACUCCGGCGAGAUGUGGUCGGCGAAGUGCUCCCACUACAACUGCAAAUUGUGCUAGGGAGACCACAUCGGCAACGCGGAUAGCGCGUGGAUAGAGUGCCUGAAACCGUCAUGCAAGGCGCCCGUCGUCCGGGAACUCGUCGAGGCGGUGGCCGGCGAUCAGCUCAAGGCGCAGUACAACUGGUUGGUGGGCCUGUCGUACGUGAACGACAGCGGCGGCAGGAGAAAGUGGUGCCCUGGCUGCAGUCAUGAGCGUGCCGUCGAGCUCCUCGACGGCGGCGCCAGCGGUUCGACGACGACGACGACGGACGUGUUGUGCGAGUGCAAGCACCGCUUCUGCUGGAACUGAAUCGUGCAUGUGUGGCGGCGGACGACCAAAUAAAAUCACCUCUAAUAGAUGUCGCCGUAGUUCAAUCACCGCUCUGCUUUCCAAUUUUUCCCUCCGCGUCUUCCUCGCCAUCCCUGCCUCUUGCACAGCGCUGCCGAGUCCACCCCCUCCUCCUAUGCGCCGCCAGCCCCGCCGCUUGGGCAGCACUUCCAGCCCCACCUCCCUCCUGUGCGCGCCAGCCCCGCCGCCUGCGCAUCGCUUCCGGCCCCACCUCUCCCUCCCGCGCGCCGUCUCCCGUCUCCCGCAUGCCGCUACUGUUCCCAGCCCCUGUGCGCCGCCGCAAGUUUUCACAAUGGUGUUGACGGAGAGAGCCGAGGCUAUGAAGAUCCAGCGGGUGUUGGUAUUGUGCAGCAGCAGCAGGCCACUGUGUAGGGCCUCUUCCGAUUUGUGCCCGACCAGAACUCCAUCGUCCUCGGCUCCUCUCCAUGGAGUACUUCAACACCAGCCUUUCUUUCCUCAAAGUACUCCCUUUGUUAAAUUGUAUUGUUACUUCUUGCACUGGUUAAUUGAGAUGGCAUGUCAUUAAUUUUAUGACUUCUGAACUUGUAUUGUUGUCCCCUUAAUUUUCAAGAAGGAUAGAAUUUUGCUGUUUCUUCUGAUUUAGGAAUUAGAAUUGGGCAAUGCAUGCACUGAUGUGCACUGAUUUACUCUAACAAAAUUGAAAGUGUAUUGUUGCACUGGUUAGAAAGAAAGGGUAUUCUCCAGCUUCAAUAUGUAGUACUGAAUCAACAUAUGGGAUUUUGUCUCUGAAAAUUCAGAGAGACAAUCAAGGAUUGGUUUCGUUCAAGUUUAUGAAGAGGUUAUGGGGACAUUACUUGUGAUUGCUGCCUAACAAUUAUGUUUCUCUGUCUCAGGCUCUAGCACAGCAGGCAGGUGAGGUGUUCCUGGCUUCCAACUGCUGUUAUGCUCACUACCUUGUGGGCUCGUCAGAUUGCAAAUCUGCCCACCAAGUGGGCAAAUUCAGGAGUAGCCGCUGCCCCUUCCUUCCUUGCUAUCAAGCAGCGGCAUCCCCAUUUUACUUUGGUUCACAAGGCGUCCUUCAGCUCCCAACAUAGCCAACCGACAAGAGGCGCUGCAGGUUAGGAAGGUCAAAGCUUUUUUUGGUUCUGAUGACUUCCUCUAUCAACUUUUUUAUUUUCGGUCACUGAGACAGCUUAAACAAAAAGGUCCGAAGACCUGAAAGCGAGGUUUUUCGUGUGCUGACUAACUGAAGUAUCUGCUAUCUGGGUUGAAGUUAAGAAACCUCAAGUCGCUGUACAAGGAAUUGUUGACUAUUUAGGUGUUGAGAUAGUUAGAUGUAGAAAGGACAAGAUAGGAAGUUCACCAGGAGCUCCACUGCACUAGCAUACAGUGAGUAUGACAUGUCCAUAUUCAAUCUGGACAUUGCGUCUUUGACUGCUCAACAUUGCAUUUAUGCACAUGUAGGUACUGCAACAAUUUGUACUAAAUAUUGCUCUCAGAAUCUGUUUUUCGGCUCAAAAUUGGUCAGUUCUAUUGGAGUUGAAGUAGGCACUAUUUUUUUCUAGCUAAAGCUUGGAUGGAGAUGGAAUUCUGGCAUUGGUCAGUUCUAUUAUGAACCUGGUUGAAGUAGGCACUAUUUUCUGAUGGAUAUUAUUAUGAAUCUGUUUUUCAGCUCAAAAUUGGUCAGUUCUAUUAUUUUGCAUAUUGUAGCUUCCUUCCUUGGUGUCCAAUCUGUGGUUCUGUAAAGUUUGUACCCUCUUUUGUUCUGUUCUGUCAAAACUAUAAGGAAAUUGGAGCUGUCAUGUGGGCCUCAUUAAAUAAGCUAAAAUUUCUUAACUGACAUCAAAAAUAGCAAUAUCAAGCACAUUCAUCCAUGAGAAGAAUCAAGAAUAAUUCAACUGAUCACAUUCAUCCAUGAGAAGAAGAAUCAAGAAUAAUUCAACUGAUCACAUUCAUCACAGCCAGCAUUAAGAAUAAUUCAACUGACCAUAUUCAUCACAGACUAUCAACUUGGCAGCAAGUCUUUCAUCCAUUAUGCAAAACUAACCACAAUGUAGUUUAAAAGACCGAUCGAGAAUAAAUUACAUCAUAAAUUACACACAAUUUUUUGCUCUUUACCCGUUGAUCUAUGCCAUAGCAUCUUGCACCAAUUGCGCUUCACACUUCAGUUGCAAAGGGAGACACCCUUGCCUUUCAAGCAUCUCUUUCCUGAUGUGAGCAACAUCAUAUCCAUUUCUGCCACCAAGUUUCAUAACUUCAUACAUCCAUCGAGAGUCAAGAAAAUUCUAUUUCCUUGGCGCACCGAAUAACGUUCAAAAGCCUGAUCCACAAUAUUGAUAUGUUUUAGAUCAUUUUCUUUUCAUAAUAAGUUGUUGCACACACAAUUGCAAAGGAAAAGCAAACAGGUUCAGAACUCUCACCUAAUCCACAGUGGCUACAAGCUCUUCUGUUGUUUUGGAUGCUGUUUUGUACUUGAUUGACUGAAUAAAGUUAAAUAAACCUAAAUCCAAGACAUUGAAAUCAGGUGAAUUUACUGGCUGACAGACAAGUCUCAUGUCGCACCCAUGUUGCUUAGCAGCCUCACAAAACAUUAUGUUAUUAGGAGCAAAAUGGGGUCUAGCAUUGUCCUCCUGUAUGAAUAUUAGCUUGUUGGCAUCUUCAUGCGGCCACUUAGCACGAAUAGCUGGUAAGACCUUUUUUAUCAUGAAAUCUCGAAUGACUUGCUUUUUUACCGAGUCGAUAUGCUUCAUCUCUAUUGUUCCUGCAGGCUGGUUUGCACUUGACCGCUUGGCUGCUUCAUAUGUCACGAAUGAGAAGCAACCAAUCUUUCCAUCAAACAUGCAAUUGCCAUCAAAAUCAAAUCUUGGCCGAGCAACGAUAAUCAAAAACAUGAUUCUAGGAAUGUAAUUCUUGCUCUUGCAAGUUCGAACCGGUUGUUCUUCACCUGGAAUUGUAUAAUAUCUCUCUGCUUUUCUUGUAAUGUAGUACCACUUUUCAUCAAUGAACCCAUAAUCAAAUAGCCCUUGGAACAUAUGCAUCUAGAUUACUUACAUCUGUAUAUGAUAUUAUGGAGGACCUUUCAAACAAAGUUGAAGGUUACUAGAGGGAUCAUGCACCUUGGAAACAAAUGCUAUUUUUCCUCCUCUCUUCAUUCCUGUACGCCCGACGGGGUUACUAAUUCUCAUUGUUUCAAUUUCAUUUUUUUAACUCAGGACAUAUGUUGCUCCGGAACUAUCACUUGAUGGAGGUAUGUCUAAGACAUUGUCACUUGCUUGGGGCCUCAAAAUUAUGGAGCCAACCAAGUGCGAUGUGUACUCCUUUGGCAUCAUCCUCCUUGAGACCAUGAGCGUCAUGUGGAAAAAAUGCCGCGGCGCUCCUUCCAAAGAAAUCCGCGAACAGUGGGCUAAGAGGCUUGAGAAGAGGGAUCUAUUUGAUCAAGAACUGGUAACUGACGAUUCAAACCGGGUUCUGGCAUUAAGGUGCGUGCUUGUCGGGCUGAUAUGCUGUCUACGUGAGCCGGCACGGUGGCUCUCCAUGGAGGAGGUUGUUGUUAGGAUUGGUGGUCCACGCACGGAGGUUGUUCCAGCAGCCGUGCCGUCGAGUUCCUCAGCCGCGCAGGCGAUUCCAAGGCAGUGAUCUGCGGGUGCAACCACAACGUCUUCCUUGUGCAUUUAUGCUGUUCGGUCUAACUCUGUGCACUAUCUGAAUCUGGAACUCGUUUUCAUUUGUGCGUCUGUUUCUGCCUGAAUGCUAUCGCUAUAUAUGGUAAGGUGCGGAAUUUGAUAUGUGUGUAUUAUCAGAACGCUACUGUGUAAUGUACUACUUAUUAGUAGAGUGUUCAGUGAUGCCCGGAUUUGUAGUAGUAUAUUUGAUUUUUCGC